ACGGGGGGGGCAAGCGUUGUUCGGAAUUACUGGGCGUAAAGGGUCUGUAGGUGGCUUGCUAAGUCAGACGUGAAAUCCCUCAGCUUAACUGGGGAACUGCGUCUGAGACUGGCGAGCUUGAGUGCAGGAGAGGAACGCGGAAUUCCAGGUGUAACGGUGAAAUGCGUAGAUAUCUGGAGGAACACCGGUGGCGAAGGCGGCGUUCUGGACUGUAACUGACACUGAGAGACGGAAGCCAGGGGAGCAAACGGGA
rnacentral:rRNA from 1 species